rnacentral:rRNA from 1 species
CUGUAGCGUCGUGCCUAUACUCGGCCGUCAACGGCAAAGUGGGCGACCCCCUCGCGGGGGUCGGGCCGUUAAGCCUUGACGAGUAGGAGGGUCGCGGCGGUGUGCACUGAAGGGUCACGGCGUGAGCCGGCCUGGAGCCGCCGUCGGCGCAGAUCUUGGUGGUAGUAGCAAAUACUCCAGCGAGGACCUGGAGGACUGACGUGGAGAAGGGUUUCUUGUGAACAGCUGUUGCACAAGAGUCAGUCGACCCUAAGCCCUAGGAGAAAUCCCACGUUGAUGGGUCGCCGGACAAAAGCUCAAAAUCUUGAAUUUUGACGGCACCCUCAGGGCGAAAGGGAAUCCGGUUCCUAUUCCGGAACCCGGUAGCGGAACCGUUCCAAAACGGGCCCUCGCAAGAGUGCUCGUCGGGGCAACCCAAAGAGACCCGGAGACGCCGUCGGGAGAUCCGGAGAGAGUUUUCUUUUCUCUAUAAGCGUUCGAGUUCCCUGGAAUCCUCUAGCAGGGAGAUAGGGUUUGGAACGCGAAGAGCACCGCAGUUGCAGCGGUGUCCGGAUCUUCUCCUCGGACCUUGAAAAUCCGGGAGAGGGCUACGUGGAAAGUUCGCACCGGAUCGUACCCAUAUCCGCAGCAGGUCUCCAAGGUUAAGAGCCUCUAGUCGAU